rnacentral:lncRNA from 1 species
GUGGACUAGGUUACAGGACCAUGCAGGUCUACUGGGUUGAACAAAAGUCUAAGGUCGGCGGCGGAAGCGACUUGAGGAAUCUCAGUGCUCAUGGGACUCCAUUCCCACAGGAACAACUGACCUGGAUAAAUUUCUAUCUCACAAGGAUGCUAUCCUUGACUCCUAGGUUCCGGGGUUGGCGGCAUCAUGCUCCUCUCCGAACGCAAUCUGGCCAAGACAAUAGCCAGGGACAAGCCAGUGAGUACUUUGAAUGUACUCGCAAACAUCAAGAAAUCAAACACGUUAAAGCAGGAGAGAUGCAUGCAAUUUCCACGAACAAUUGUACCAUGACAUUAGAGUUUAUUUCAUGGAUGCAUUCAUGAAGAGAUGCAAUGCUCCCACCAAUGUUUUAUAAAUACGAAAAGAAGGUAAUACUGAAUAAGUAAUAAUAUGCGUGACACAGUCGGGCGUCUGAGAGACACCACAUAAAGGGCUUCUAUGAAACAAUAAACAUGCCACAGUCGAGCGUCUAAUCGACACCACAGAAAGGGCUUAUAAGAAAUGAUAAUAAGCAUGCCAGAGUCGAGCGUCUCAACGACACCACACAAAAGGGCUUACAAGAAAUAAUAGUAAAUGUUGAAUAUCCAGGAGGUAGAACCGUCCCAGGUAUACCCAACAACAAUAUCAUAGGGGUUAGUCCAGAGUAAUAAUAAUAAUAUGAUUAUCCACCACAUCUUCAUAUGAUUUUCCACAACCAUUAUUUUUAUCACCGCUUAUACACCAAAUACCGACUCUAGGACCGACACUUGACUUCGUGAAACAACGUCCUUGACCGGGGACACUGUUACUUGAAUAGUUUUGACUCCGAAGAGGGUGUACUCUUUACACACAGCUCACGGUUUCUGAUAGUCGACAAGACUAAUCCCGCGUACGACAUUUUAGAAGCGAACACUCAGAAUCAGCACACACCGAUUUUUCCUUCGCGAAGCCCGGCUUCACCUGGACUACGCUACCAAGGCAAAACCAUAAGACGGGGAGGCUCCGAUAUCGACUAGCAUGGGAUCAAAAAUUUAUAUCGCGCGCUCACUUGGAAGAGCCAUGCCCUCCCGGUGCCAGACCGGGAACGCCCAUGCCCCCUGACCGGAUGACUGGAUUUAUUCCAGGGCCAUGGAUACCUUCAUACCGGCCCCUCUACUUGGUGUGUGACUGAUAAUAGGUCUACAACUGACUUUACAGAAUCCAUUAUCCAUGAAACCAUGGUAGCACUUUAUAGAAGCAUGACACGGACAAGACUCGAUCUCGGUCGAUACUGGAGUUAACCAAGUUUUACCGGCAUCCUUGUGCACAUGUCAUGACCAGGCCAUAACCUAUCACGUUCCGCGUGACUAGGUUAUUCCACGACCUUUCAUAACUAGCACAUGCCAUCAUCAUAUUUUACCAAUGUUAUAAUGUGAGUAGCAUGUAGGAAGAAUGCAAGGUAUUAUUUCAUGCAAGAUUAUUAUCAACAUAACCUCAAAUCACGUAAUACAAUGAUCACACAACUUAUGGAAAAUUUGGAUUCAUGAUGCUUGCCUUAGGGGUUUGAGGAGGGUGAUUGUGUACCCCAUAUCUUGGAGUAGAUAUCCUCUCUUCAAAUCCUAUUUUGAAAAAUAUUUGAAUUAACAGACAUAUUCAAAUUAGCACACAAAAGUUGUUUGAAUAAUUUUGAAAUAAAACUUAAAAUAAACUAGAUGAAAUUAUAAACAGGUAGGAAAAAGAAUCAAUUGACUUGGAGUUACCUAUAAAAAGUUAUAGCCAGUCAAACUUUCCGGUCAACUCUGUUUUUUAAAUCGAGAAUAAAAGAAAACGCUUCCGGUGCAAAUACGCUUUCUAACUGAGGAAGUGUAUUACUGAGAUAGCUGCCAGAAAAUACGCUAUACUAAAUAGAAGACGCACCAGGGGGUUUGCGCCCCUCGGGGCUAUGGCUCUCUCACCGACACGCGGGGCCCGCUUGUCGGGUUCUUCUUCUUUCUCCUGCUCAUAGGGAAACAGGGGCGGGGAGAGAGACCCGGCGAGGUUCCCCGACGUUUGGAGGCCUCGCUCUAGGAGCUGAGCACGCCGACGAGUGCACGAGUGAGUACCCCAUCCUCAGGAGGUACCUGAGUCGCGGAGGGGCUCAGGGGGCGAGUGCCCUAUCUUCCACGGCGGACAUGGGAGCUCCGGCGAUCCCAACUCCGAUUAAUGGCGCUAAUGGCACGGGGCAACACCGGGAAUGGGUUCCCGGGGCUUUAGGGAGGCUAGCAGGGUAGGUAGAGCAGAACUACGGGGCUUGGGCUGCCGGAAUUUAGCCAAGGACGGCCGGCAAUCCUGCGGUCAACGACGAGCACCGUGAGCAGCUUGGGCCAAAUUGGAGUGAUGGGGAGGGGCUACAGGUGCUGGGAGGCUGCUACGGAGCUCAUAGGGCUCGGGGGCUCCAUAAAAUAGCCGGCUCAAGGCGGUUCCACUUGGGCUCCGGAUAAGCUCGACGGCGAUAGAGCUUCAGGCUCGCAGCGGCGGCAGCAAGGGCAACACGUCAGCAAGGGCUGCAGGAGGACGAUGCACGGGAUGGACCGCGACACCUAGCGCGUUGGAAGCUCUCGGGCGGCGCCGUUCACUGCUGCGGCAGUGCUGACGUCGGCUAGCCACCACGGCUGGCACACUGCUGGGGAUCUGCGUGCGCACAGGAGCAGCGACCAAUGGUCGGGGGGAGAGGGGGGUUG